GUAUUAGUGUAAAACUUUUUCGACGUAAACAGAAACAGCAGAAUAUUGAAGCAAAAAAAAACCAGAAGCAAAACAAUAGAAAAUCACACCGAGAUUUUUUACGUGGUUCAACCCUUAUCCUCUACUCUAGUGGCAUAAUCCACGUCCAAUCCCAACUAGGAUUGAAGACUCACUUUAUUAAAAUAAUAUUCAGCAAUUACAAAGACAAUAAAACUCCCUGUUACAAUGACAAUCGAUUGGACACCUCUGCC
rnacentral:lncRNA from 1 species